UACGUAGGGUGCGAGCGUUAAUCGGAAUUACUGGGCGUAAAGCGUGCGCAGGCGGUUUUGUAAGCCAGGUGUGAAAUCCCCGGGCUCAACCUGGGAAUGGCAUUUGGGACUGCAAGGCUGGAGUGCGGCAGAGGAGACUGGAAUUCCUGGUGUAGCAGUGAAAUGCGUAGAUAUCAGGAGGAACACCGGUGGCGAAGGCGGGUCUCUGGGCCGUUACUGACGCUGAGGAGCGAAAGCGUGGGGAGCGAACAGG
rnacentral:rRNA from 1 species